rnacentral:lncRNA from 1 species
CAGGUUCAAUAGUUCUUCCAGCUUCAAGACUGUUUAUUGUAAUCUGAAAGAUGAUGUGCAGCAGCAGAAAUGAUAGACUGGUGAAACACAGAGAUUUUAAUAAUCGUCCUGUAUGCCCUUGCAUCGUUGUUUUUGUGGGUUCUGAAAACAAAGGAAUGAGCAGUAGGUAGAUGAGGUAGACAAAGGAGAGUCCAUUGUAACGGAAAGCACAGGCGGCAGCCAGGCACACGGGCAGCAGCAGCCUGAAGGUGAGCCCGCACAGCACCUCGGUGGCCAUCGCGCCGGGGCAGGACGUCGGCCGGGCGGCCGCGGAGCCGUCCCUGGGUGCGCUGCUCUACGGCCGGCCGUGCGCGGAGCCGCCGCGGCGGCGGAGCAUCGCCCGUCCCCGCCUCAGCCGCCUCCCGCCUCCCGCCGCAUCCCGCGGCAGCGCCGCGCCGCACCCGGCCCGGGCCACGCACACGCCCGCCCCCUCGGGGCUCCGCGCCCGCCUCCCGCUGCCCUCCUCCUUCUCCUCCU